GGUUAAGCGACUAAGCGUACACGGUGGAUGCCCUGGCAGUCAGAGGCGAUGAAGGACGUGCUAAUCUGCGAUAAGCGUCGGUAAGGUGAUAUGAACCGUUAUAACCGGCGAUUUCCGAAUGGGGAAACCCAGUGUGUUUCGACACACUAUCAUUAACUGAAUCCAUAGGUUAAUGAGGCGAACCGGGGGAACUGAAACAUCUAAGUACCCCGAGGAAAAGAAAUCAACCGAGAUUCCCCCAGUAGCGGCGAGCGAACGGGGAGCAGCCCAGAGCCUGAAUCAGUAUGUGUGUUAGUGGAAGCGUCUGGAAAGGCGCGCGAUACAGGGUGACAGCCCCGUACACAAAAAUGCACAUGCUGUGAGCUCGAUGAGUAGGGCGGGACACGUGGUAUCCUGUCUGAAUAUGGGGGGACCAUCCUCCAAGGCUAAAUACUCCUGACUGACCGAUAGUGAACCAGUACCGUGAGGGAAAGGCGAAAAGAACCCCGGCGAGGGGAGUGAAAAAGAACCUGAAACCGUGUACGUACAAGCAGUGGGAGCACGCUUAGGCGUGUGACUGCGUACCUUUUGUAUAAUGGGUCAGCGACUUAUAUUCUGUAGCAAGGUUAACCGAAUAGGGGAGCCGAAGGGAAACCGAGUCUUAACUGGGCGUUAAGUUGCAGGGUAUAGACCCGAAACCCGGUGAUCUAGCCAUGGGCAGGUUGAAGGUUGGGUAACACUAACUGGAGGACCGAACCGACUAAUGUUGAAAAAUUAGCGGAUGACUUGUGGCUGGGGGUGAAAGGCCAAUCAAACCGGGAGAUAGCUGGUUCUCCCCGAAAGCUAUUUAGGUAGCGCCUCGUGAAUUCAUCUCCGGGGGUAGAGCACUGUUUCGGCAAGGGGGUCAUCCCGACUUACCAACCCGAUGCAAACUGCGAAUACCGGAGAAUGUUAUCACGGGAGACACACGGCGGGUGCUAACGUCCGUCGUGAAGAGGGAAACAACCCAGACCGCCAGCUAAGGUCCCAAAGUCAUGGUUAAGUGGGAAACGAUGUGGGAAGGCCCAGACAGCCAGGAUGUUGGCUUAGAAGCAGCCAUCAUUUAAAGAAAGCGUAAUAGCUCACUGGUCGAGUCGGCCUGCGCGGAAGAUGUAACGGGGCUAAACCAUGCACCGAAGCUGCGGCAGCGACGCUUAUGCGUUGUUGGGUAGGGGAGCGUUCUGUAAGCCUGCGAAGGUGUGCUGUGAGGCAUGCUGGAGGUAUCAGAAGUGCGAAUGCUGACAUAAGUAACGAUAAAGCGGGUGAAAAGCCCGCUCGCCGGAAGACCAAGGGUUCCUGUCCAACGUUAAUCGGGGCAGGGUGAGUCGACCCCUAAGGCGAGGCCGAAAGGCGUAGUCGAUGGGAAACAGGUUAAUAUUCCUGUACUUGGUGUUACUGCGAAGGGGGGACGGAGAAGGCUAUGUUGGCCGGGCGACGGUUGUCCCGGUUUAAGCGUGUAGGCUGGUUUUCCAGGCAAAUCCGGAAAAUCAAGGCUGAGGCGUGAUGACGAGGCACUACGGUGCUGAAGCAACAAAUGCCCUGCUUCCAGGAAAAGCCUCUAAGCAUCAGGUAACAUCAAAUCGUACCCCAAACCGACACAGGUGGUCAGGUAGAGAAUACCAAGGCGCUUGAGAGAACUCGGGUGAAGGAACUAGGCAAAAUGGUGCCGUAACUUCGGGAGAAGGCACGCUGAUAUGUAGGUGAAGCGACUUGCUCGUGGAGCUGAAAUCAGUCGAAGAUACCAGCUGGCUGCAACUGUUUAUUAAAAACACAGCACUGUGCAAACACGAAAGUGGACGUAUACGGUGUGACGCCUGCCCGGUGCCGGAAGGUUAAUUGAUGGGGUUAGCGCAAGCGAAGCUCUUGAUCGAAGCCCCGGUAAACGGCGGCCGUAACUAUAACGGUCCUAAGGUAGCGAAAUUCCUUGUCGGGUAAGUUCCGACCUGCACGAAUGGCGUAAUGAUGGCCAGGCUGUCUCCACCCGAGACUCAGUGAAAUUGAACUCGCUGUGAAGAUGCAGUGUACCCGCGGCAAGACGGAAAGACCCCGUGAACCUUUACUAUAGCUUGACACUGAACAUUGAGCCUUGAUGUGUAGGAUAGGUGGGAGGCUUUGAAGUGUGGACGCCAGUCUGCAUGGAGCCGACCUUGAAAUACCACCCUUUAAUGUUUGAUGUUCUAACGUUGACCCGUGAUCCGGGUUGCGGACAGUGUCUGGUGGGUAGUUUGACUGGGGCGGUCUCCUCCUAAAGAGUAACGGAGGAGCACGAAGGUUGGCUAAUCCUGGUCGGACAUCAGGAGGUUAGUGCAAUGGCAUAAGCCAGCUUGACUGCGAGCGUGACGGCGCGAGCAGGUGCGAAAGCAGGUCAUAGUGAUCCGGUGGUUCUGAAUGGAAGGGCCAUCGCUCAACGGAUAAAAGGUACUCCGGGGAUAACAGGCUGAUACCGCCCAAGAGUUCAUAUCGACGGCGGUGUUUGGCACCUCGAUGUCGGCUCAUCACAUCCUGGGGCUGAAGUAGGUCCCAAGGGUAUGGCUGUUCGCCAUUUAAAGUGGUACGCGAGCUGGGUUUAGAACGUCGUGAGACAGUUCGGUCCCUAUCUGCCGUGGGCGCUGGAGAAUUGAGGGGGGCUGCUCCUAGUACGAGAGGACCGGAGUGGACGCAUCACUGGUGUUCGGGUUGUCAUGCCAAUGGCACUGCCCGGUAGCUAAAUGCGGAAGAGAUAAGUGCUGAAAGCAUCUAAGCACGAAACUUGCCCCGAGAUGAGUUCUCCCUGACUCCUUGAGAGUCCUGAAGGAACGUUGAAGACGACGACGUUGAUAGGCCGGGUGUGUAAGCGCAGCGAUGCGUUGAGCUAACCGGUACUAAUGAACCGUGAGGCUUAACCUU
rnacentral:rRNA from 1 species